rnacentral:lncRNA from 1 species
CUUCCUGGAAUUUAAGUAAUCACAUGCCAAGCACAUGUCUUCAGGGAAAUUCCAGAAAUACCCUUUAGUCAUUACAAUAAUGCCCAUAUCGCCCUGUCCUUUUAGCCACCAAUCCAAUCCCUCAAUCAAUUCUCAAAACGAGCUGCCUCCACGAGCCUUCUGCCUCGGGACCCGUCGAGGCUUCUCCCGGGUCUAGUCCCUUUAUUUCUGACUUAUCCGUUUAAUUAGGUUAUGCAAACCCUAAUUUGCACAUUUAAUGAGGCCGUGGAACCCUAAUUGUGCAUUUAAUUAGGUCAUAUGAACCCUAAUUUUGCACAUGGGCCCACAUAUUUAUAUUGAAAAGUGAAUUUGAGAUGCAUAUAUGGAUAGUUUGGUAUAUAUUUUGUGGAUGUAGUUAUUUUGUGGAUGCAUAUUGGGA